rnacentral:snRNA from 1 species
AUCCAAAGUGGUUUAAAGC